UACGAAGGGGGGCUAGCGUUGCUCGGAAUCACUGGGCGUAAAGCGCACGUAGGCGGCUUUCUAAGUCAGGGGUGAAAUCCUGGAGCUCAACUCCAGAACUGCCUUUGAUACUGGAGAGCUAGAGUCCGGAAGAGGUGAGUGGAACUGCGAGUGUAGAGGUGAAAUUCGUAGAUAUUCGCAAGAACACCAGUGGCGAAGGCGGCUCACUGGUCCGGUACUGACGCUGAGGUGCGAAAGCGUGGGGAGCAAACAGGG
rnacentral:rRNA from 1 species